UACGAGCCGAAUUAAGGUGAAACCGCGAAAGGCUCAUUAAAUCAGUUAUGGUUCCUUAGAUCGUACCCACAUUUACUUGGAUAACUGUGGUAAUUCUAGAGCUAAUACAUGCAAACAGAGCUCCGACCGGAGACGGAAGGAGUGCUUUUAUUAGAUCAAAACCAAUCGGCGUCGGUUCGUUCGCGGGCCGUUCGUCGCUCUCACUGGUGACUCUGAAUAACUUUACGCUGAUCGCACGGUCUCGCACCGGCGACGCAUCUUUCAAAUGUCUGCCUUAUCAACUGUCGAUGGUAGGUUCUGCGCCUACCAUGGUCGUAACGGGUAACGGGGAAUCAGGGUUCGAUUCCGGAGAGGGAGCCUGAGAAACGGCUACCACAUCCAAGGAAGGCAGCAGGCGCGCAAAUUACCCACUCCCGGCACGGGGAGGUAGUGACGAAAAAUAACGGUACGGGACUCAUCCGAGGCCCCGUAAUCGGAAUGAGUACACUUUAAAUCCUUUAACAAGUAUCAAUUGGAGGGCAAGUCUGGUGCCAGCAGCCGCGGUAACUCCAGCUCCAAUAGCGUAUAUUAAAGUUGUUGCGGUUAAAAAGCUCGUAGUUGAAUCUGUGUCCCGCGCUGUCGGUUCACCGUCCGCGGUGUUUAACUGGCACGCUCGCGGGACGUCCUGCCGGUGGGCUCGUUUCGUUCGGCGGCCGGCGACGGUCGUCGGGCGGCGGCCCGACUCACGAUCCUACCGCGGUGCUCUUCACUGAGUGUCGAGGUGGGCCGGCACGUUUACUUUGAACAAAUUAGAGUGCUCAAAGCAGGCCGAAAUCACGCCUGAAUAUUGUGUGCAUGGAAUAAUGGAACAGGACCUCGGUUCUAUUUUGUUGGUUUUCGGAAGCCCGAGGUAAUGAUUAAUAGGGACAGAUGGGGGCAUUCGUAUUGCGACGUUAGAGGUGAAAUUCUUGGAUCGUCGCAAGACGGACAGAAGCGAAAGCAUUUGCCAAAAAUGUUUUCAUUAAUCAAGAACGAAAGUCAGAGGUUCGAAGGCGAUCAGAUACCGCCCUAGUUCUGACCAUAAACGAUGCCAGCUAGCGAUCCGCUGACGUUCCUCCGAUGACUCGGCGGGCAGCUUCCGGGAAACCAAAGCUUUUGGGUUCCGGGGGAAGUAUGGUUGCAAAGCUGAAACUUAAAGGAAUUGACGGAAGGGCACCACCAGUAGUGGAGCCUGCGGUUUAAUUUGACUCAACACGGGAAACCUCACCAGGCCCAGACACCGGAAGGAUUGACAGAUUGAGAGCUCUUUCUUGAUUCGGUGGGUGGUGGUGCAUGGCCGUUCUUAGUUGGUGGAGCGAUCUGUCUUGGUUAAUUCCGGUAACGAACGAGACUCUAACCUGCUAACUAGGCGUAUCUUUCCGACAUCUAGAAGGCUCGCGUCGCCUGUCAGCCGUGGCGCGGGCGUGCGGUCGUCGGGCGUCGUUCGUCGUUCUCGCUCGUCGAGUGCGGCGUUCUGCGUCCGCGCCGUCGUCCCGUCCGGUCGGGCGUUCGCGGUUUUUACUGUCGGCGUACAAAUUAAUCUUCUUAGAGGGACAGGCGGUUCCUAGCCGCACGAGAUUGAGCAAUAACAGGUCUGUGAUGCCCUUAGAUGUUCUGGGCCGCACGCGCGCUACACUGAAGGAAUCAGCGUGUCCUCCCUGGCCGAGCGGUCCGGGUAACCCGCUGAAACUCCUUCGUGCUAGGGAUUGGGGCUUGCAAUUAUUCCCCAUGAACGAGGAAUUUCAAGUAAGCGCGAGUCAUAAGCUUGCGUUGAUUACGUCCCUGCCCUUUGUACACACCGCCCGUCGCUACUACCGAUUGAAUGAUUUAGUGAGGUCUUCAGACCGGUACGCGGCGGCGUUUCGACGUCCGCCGAUGUC
rnacentral:rRNA from 1 species